CUAAAAAGGUGAAGUGAACCUUCAUCUAGUCUUUAUAUAAAGGCAAAACCUUCAAAUUGCGGGAAAGUCUUAAAGACAAAUCUACCAAGUUAAUACAGUAAUGUAAUUAAUGGAACAGGUAAUGACUCGUUGUAUGGUAAAAACGAUUUGUAUGAAGAAAUGAAAUAGAUAACCCGCAGCCAAACACCAUUAUAUGCUGCGUAUUGCAUACGCAGCACAGACAGGUGCGCAGUUCAUCGACUAAAUGUAGGUUGGUUUAUAAUUAUAGGCGAGUACGUGCGUGCGAAGCUCGCUCUAGCUUGCGCACCCUCCUUAUAAUUAUUUGCUUAAGAUAUAGUCAGGCAUAAUUUAAAGAUUAUG
rnacentral:ncRNA from 1 species